rnacentral:rRNA from 1 species
CCCUUAGAUGUCCUGGGCCGCACGCGCGUUACACUGAUGCAUUCAACGAGCUUAUAACCUUGGCCGAGAGGCCUGGGCAAUCUUGUUAACGUGCAUCGUGAUAGGGAUAGAUUAUUGAAAUUAUUAAUCUUGAACGAGGAAUUCCUAGUAAACGCAGAUCAUCAAUCUGCAUUGAUUACGUCCCUGCCAUUUGUACACACCGCCCGUCGCACCUACCGAUUGGAUGGUCCGGUGAAGCCUCGGGAUUGUGGUUCUUGCCGCUUUAUUGUGGCGUGACCGCGAGAACUUGUCUAAACCUUAUCAUCUAGAGGAAGGUGAAGUCGUAACA